rnacentral:rRNA from 1 species
AUUGAACGCUGGCGGCAGGCCUAACACAUGCAAGUCGAGCGGUAGAGAGAAGCUUGCUUCUCUUGAGAGCGGCGGACGGGUGAGUAAUGCCUAGGAAUCUGCCUGGUAGUGGGGGAUAACGUCCGGAAACGGACGCUAAUACCGCAUACGUCCUACGGGAGAAAGCAGGGGACCUUCGGGCCUUGCGCUAUCAGAUGAGCCUAGGUCGGAUUAGCUAGUUGGUGAGGUAAUGGCUCACCAAGGCGACGAUCCGUAACUGGUCUGAGAGGAUGAUCAGUCACACUGGAACUGAGACACGGUCCAGACUCCUACGGGAGGCAGCAGUGGGGAAUAUUGGACAAUGGGCGAAAGCCUGAUCCAGCCAUGCCGCGUGUGUGAAGAAGGUCUUCGGAUUGUAAAGCACUUUAAGUUGGGAGGAAGGGUUGUAGAUUAAUACUCUGCAAUUUUGACGUUACCGACAGAA